rnacentral:rRNA from 1 species
CGGGUGAGUAACGCGUGAGGAACCUGCCUCAAAGAGGGGGACAACAGUUGGAAACGACUGCUAAUACCGCAUAAGCCCACGGCUCGGCAUCGAGCAGAGGGAAAAGGAGCAAUCCGCUUUGAGAUGGCCUCGCGUCCGAUUAGCUAGUUGGUGAGGUAACGGCCCACCAAGGCGACGAUCGGUAGCCGGACUGAGAGGUUGAACGGCCACAUUGGGACUGAGAUACGGCUCAG